CACGGGGCGGGUGGCGCGGGGGACCCGUCCUCGGAGGACCGCUCCUCCACGGCCGGGGGACAGCCGCACGGGCGGCGCACUGCCCGGGGCCCCUCGGGGCACGCGUCCGAGCCACCUCCUGAAGACGCCGCGCGCGGACGCUCCACGCGGCCCCAAGCAGCUGCCGCCGAGUCCUCCUCUCCGCCCCGGAGAGCUUCCCCCGAUCCGGCCACCGCGGCCACCGGUUCUGAGCUUCCCGCUCCGGGCGUGUGGCACACGGAGGGACGCUGAGGCUGAGGCUGCGGCUGAGGCUCGGGCUCCGGCCAGGCGGCACGGGCGACCGGCGGGGGCGGCUCUCCCCAGCCGGAGGGUGGCCCGGCUACAGGCUCUCCAGGCUGCUGAGGCGGCGGCACCGCCGGGGUCCCCGCAGGGCCAGCCAGGUAGAGGCCAGGGCAGGGGUCACUCAGGUAGACUUGGCGGGCGCUGCGCAGCACCAACGACACCAAGAGGUUCUUGUGCAGCUUGAUGCCGCCGCGCUGGACCCGCGAGUUGUAGAUCUUGCCCAGGGAGAUGCUGACGAUGCGGUGAGCCUCCAGCUUGAACUCCAUCCUGCCUUCGCUUCCAGACGAUAGGGUGAACGCCUGCUUGCCUUCUGAAGCUGCGAGAGGAGCUGUAGGCGGGAUCAGGUCUUCCUCUGUGGUUGUACCCUCGGCGUCUGAAAGCUCGGUGGAGAAAAGACCUGGUGACGCGUAGUCCCCCUCCGCCGCUUCCCUUCAGACAACAGAACCGUUCUGAGCCGGACUCUAAACUGAGCGCUGCGGGGCCACACUGCACCUUAUAUAUGCUCCUCGAACGCCAAUCACAAAGCGCCGCUAACCGUUCUGGGCGGGCAGAUGUGCCUCGUGCUCCGCCCCCGACCAAUCAGAGGCAGAGGAGGGGCCCCAGGGCCUGUUCAAACGUUAGUCCCGCGGAGCAAGCUCUUAAAGGGGGAGAUUGCAGGCAGCCCAUUGAUCAUGUGCGGUGGGAUUUGUGUUCAGAGGCGUUGAUAGAGGAGAACGAGGCCCACAGAACUGGCCUCGGACAUCGCAGGGGCUUAGGAAAUGACAGCUAACUUGCACUUAUGCUUUUGCAAUUAUUGUCAGGAUUUCCUCUAAUCCUGAGCCAACAGAAUGGACUCUUCACAAUCCAUCUCUCCAGGGACCAAUCGCUUCUGAUCAGGAAGC
rnacentral:lncRNA from 1 species